rnacentral:rRNA from 1 species
AGAGUUUCUUUCUGGCUCAGGAUGAACGCUGGCGGCGUGCUUAACACAUGCAAGUCGAACGGGAAUGCCACGCUGAUGCGAUUUCGGUCAAAUCAUGUGGCAUUCGAGUGGCGGACGGGUGAGUAACGCGUGGGUAACCUGCCUUACACAGGGGGAUAACACCUGGAAACAGGUGCUAAUACCGCAUAAGCGCACAGGGCCGCAUGGCCCGGUGUGAAAAACUCCGGUGGUGUAAGAUGGACCCGCGUCUGAUUAGCUUGUUGGCGGGGUAGGGGCCCACCAAGGCGACGAUCAGUAGCCGGCCUGAGAGGGUGGACGGCCACAUUGGGACUGAGACACGGCCCAAACUCCUACGGGAGGCAGCAGUGGGGGAUAUUGGACAAUGGGGGAAACCCUGAUCCAGCGACGCCGCGUGAGUGAAGAAGUAUUUCGGUAUGUAAAGCUCUGUCAGCAGGGAAGAAAGAAAUGACGGUACCUGACCAAGAAGCCCCGGCUAACUACGUGCCAGCAGCCGCGGUAAUACGUAGGGGGCAAGCGUUAUCCGGAAUUACUGGGUGUAAAGGGAGCGUAGACGGUGAUGCAAGUCUGGAGUGAAAGGCGGGGGCCCAACCCCCGGACUGCUCUGGAAACUGCGUAACUUGAGUGCAGGAGAGGUAAGCGGAAUUCCUAGUGUAGCGGUGAAAUGCGUAGAUAUUAGGAGGAACACCAGUGGCGAAGGCGGCUUACUGGACUGUAACUGACGUUGAGGCUCGAAAGCGUGGGGAGCAAACAGGAUUAGAUACCCUGGUAGUCCACGCCGUAAA